GAUGAAGAACGUAGCGAAAUGCGAUAAGUAAUGUGAAUUGCAGAAUUCAGUGAAUCAUCGAAUCUUUGAACGCACAUUGCGCCCCUUGGUAUUCCGGGGGGCAUGCCUGUUCGAGCGUCAUUUCAACCCUCAAGCUUCUGCUUGGUCUUGUGCCGUGCCGGCAACGGCUGGCCUUAAAACUAGUGGCGGUGCCAUCGAGCUCUACGCGUAGUAAUUCUAUCUCGCGUCUGGGCUUCGGUGGACGCUGGCCAGCAACCCCCAAUUUUCUAUGGUUGACCUCGGAUCAGGUAGGGAUACCCGCUGAACUUAAGCAUAUCAAUAAGCGGAGGA
rnacentral:misc_RNA from 1 species